CGCCGGAAGACCAAGGGUUCCUGUCCAACGUUAAUCGGGGCAGGGUGAGUCGACCCCUAAGGCGAGGCCGAAAGGCGUAGUCGAUGGGAAACAGGUUAAUAUUCCUGUACUUGGUGUUACUGCGAAGGGGGGACGGAGAAGGCUAUGUUGGCCGGGCGACGGUUGUCCCGGUUUAAGCGUGUAGGCUGGUUUUCCAGGCAAAUCCGGAAAAUCAAGGCUGAGGCGUGAUGACGAGGCACUACGGUGCUGAAGCAACAAAUGCCCUGCUUCCAGGAAAAGCCUCUAAGCAUCAGGUAACAUCAAAUCGUACCCCAAACCGACACAGGUGGUCAGGUAGAGAAUACCAAGGCGCUUGAGAGAACUCGGGUGAAGGAACUAGGCAAAAUGGUGCCGUAACUUCGGGAGAAGG
rnacentral:rRNA from 1 species